rnacentral:tRNA from 1 species
GAUCUUCAGGGAACCCAAAAUUUUAAUUUUUAUAAAAUAUUUGAAGAUUAU